rnacentral:rRNA from 1 species
GAUGAACGCUGGCAGAAUGCUUAACACAUGCAAGUCGACCGGUGGCGGACGGGGGAGUAACGGGUAAAGAACUUGGCUAUCAGCGAGGGACAACAUGAGGAAACGAAUGCUAAUACGUAAUACUGUGAGAGAGCUUUGCGUCCCAUUAGCUAGUUGGAGAGGUAACGGCUCACCAAGGCGCUGAUGGGUAGCCGGCCUGAGAGGGUGAUCGGCCACAAGGGGACAGGGACACCAGCCUUACUCCUACGGGCACAAGGGGUGGGGACUAUAGGACAACGGGCCACUGUCUGAUCAAGGCAUUCUGUGUGCAAAAUACAGUUUUCGGAAUGAAGAGAGCUUUCAUUUUGGCAGCGGUACCCGCAGAAGAAGUUCCGGCUAACUACGUGCCAGCAGCCGCGGUAAUAC